rnacentral:rRNA from 1 species
GAUGAACGCUGGCGGCGUGCCUAAUACAUGCAAGUCGAACGAAACUUCUUUAUCACCGAGUGCUUGCACUCACCGAUAAAGAGUUGAGUGGCGAACGGGUGAGUAACACGUGGGCAACCUGCCCAAAAGAGGGGGAUAACACUUGGAAACAGGUGCUAAUACCGCAUAACCAUAGUUACCGCAUGGUAACUAUGUAAAAGGUGGCUAUACUACCGCUUUUGGAUGGGCCCGCGGCGCAUUAGCUAGUUGGUAGGGUAAAGGCUUACCAAGGCAAUGAUGCGUAGCCAAAUUGAGAGGUGGAUGGGCCAAAUUGGGACUGAGACACGGCCCAAACCCCCACGGGAGGCAGCAGUAGGGAAUCUUCCACAAGGGGCGAAAGCCUGAUGGAGCAACGCCGCGUGGGUGAAGAAGGUCUUCGGAUCGUAAAACCCUGUUUUUAGAGAAGAAAGUGCGUGAGAGUAACGGUUCACGUUUCGACGGUAUCUAACCAGAAAGCCACUGCUAACUACGU